AGAAGAUCCUUGUUUGAUCCUCCCGAGAAGCCUCUCUCUAAGUAAUAUUUGGAACUCUCUUCCCUCGAAGAAAACAAAACAGGAACCUAACAUGGCUUCCCUCCGAAAGGCCCAACAAACAGCUGACUGAGACAUAAGGAGAUACAACCAACCAAUGGACUGAAGUCAGGAACCUCUGAACCUAGCUCAAGGAACCCUAUGGAAGUGGAAAGAGGAGGUGGAAAGGAUGGGAGAGCCAGAAGGAAUGGAGGACACCAGGAGAAGAAGACAGUAAUAUAGAGAUAAGCAUGUUUAAAGGCCUACUGAAGUGCUUUAUGUAAGGAGCUGGAACAUCCUCAGAUCUUGAUAUCUGCAGGGACUCCUAGAACUAAACCUCCAGAGAUGCAAACUGACCUGUUGCCUUCGGCACCUUCUCCAUGCCUUUCCCAUUGGGAUGGAAUUUCUCUCCUGUAACUACCUCAAGAGUGGCAGAUCACCAAGCAAUAAGCACACUUAUUUGGAGUCAUUGCCUCCUCACCAAAUAUGUAAGGUGUAUUGAUCAAAAAUAGACAGAAUAAACCGAUAAGUGAGGAGCUCACAGGA
rnacentral:lncRNA from 1 species